rnacentral:tRNA from 1 species
GGGCCCGUAGCUCAGUUUGGUAGAGCACAUGGCUCUUAACCAUGGUGUCGUGGGUUCAAAUCCCAUCGGGCUCG